UACAGAGGGUGCGAGCGUUAAUCGGAAUUACUGGGCGUAAAGCGUGCGUAGGUGGUUCGUUAAGUCCGUUGUGAAAGCCCCGAGCUCAACUUGGGAAUUGCAGUGGAUACUGGCGAGCUAGAGUGCGGUAGAGGAAGGUGGAAUUCCCGGUGUAGCGGUGAAAUGCGUAGAGAUCGGGAGGAACACCAGUGGCGAAGGCGGCCUUCUGGACCAGCACUGACACUCAAGCACGAAAGCGUGGGGAGCAAACAGG
rnacentral:rRNA from 1 species